rnacentral:rRNA from 1 species
GACGAACGCUGGCGGCGUGCUUAACACAUGCAAGUCGAACGGAAAGGCCCUGCUUUUGUGGGGUGCUCGAGUGGCGAACGGGUGAGUAACACGUGAGUAACCUGCCCUUGACUUUGGGAUAACUUCAGGAAACUGGGGCUAAUACCGGAUAGGAGCUCCUGCUGCAUGGUGGGGGUUGGAAAGUUUCGGCGGUUGGGGAUGGACUCGCGGCUUAUCAGCCUGUUGGUGGGGUAGUGGCUUACCAAGGCUUUGACGGGUAGCCGGCCUGAGAGGGUGACCGGCCACAUUGGGACUGGGAUACGGCCCAGACUCCUACGGGAGGCAGCGGUGGGGAAUAUUGCACAAUGGGCGGAGGCCUGAUGCAGCAACGCCGCGUGCGGGAUGACGGCCUUCGGGUUGUAAACCGCUUUCGCCUGUGACGAAGCGUGAGUGACGGAAAUGGGUAAAGAAGCACCGGCUAACUACGU